rnacentral:lncRNA from 1 species
CUUUAGCCUCAGUAUCAAUAGAGUUUUAUUACAUGUUGACAAUUGGUUUUGUCACAACUCAAGCACGACAUAUCUAGAGUGAUUGCUAACACUUAAUACGAUAAGGAAAUCAGUUUCGGAUGGUUUGAAAUGGCGAGUAAAAAUCGACAAAAGAAUCGAGCAUUCACCAAACUAGAGAAGAUGAUAACAAAAUCAUUCCGAAAAUCACUUGUAAAACUAAAAUUACAUGCAUAAGCAAGACUAAAAAAUGUGCUACAAGAGUAGAAAAAAACUUCUAAAAC